rnacentral:rRNA from 1 species
GAUGAACGCUGGCGGCGUGCCUAAUACAUGCAAGUCGAGCGAACGGACGAGAAGCUUGCUUCUCUGAUGUUAGCGGCGGACGGGUGAGUAACACGUGGAUAACCUACCUAUAAGACUGGGAUAACUUCGGGAAACCGGAGCUAAUACCGGAUAAUAUUUUGAACCGCAUGGUUCAAAAGUGAAAGACGGUCUUGCUGUCACUUAUAGAUGGAUCCGCGCUGCAUUAGCUAGUUGGUAAGGUAACGGCUUACCAAGGCAACGAUGCAUAGCCGACCUGAGAGGGUGAUCGGCCACACUGGAACUGAGACACGGUCCAGACUCCUACGGGAGGCAGCAGUAGGGAAUCUUCCGCAAUGGGCGAAAGCCUGACGGAGCAACGCCGCGUGAGUGAUGAAGGUCUUCGGAUCGUAAAACUCUGUUAUUAGGGAAGAACAUAUGUGUAAGUAACUGUGCACAUCUUGACGGUACCUAAUCAGAAAGCCACGGCUAAUUACGUGCCAGCAGCCGCGGUAAUACGUAGGUGGCAAGCGUUAUCCGGAAUUAUUGGGCGUAAAGCGCGCGUAGGCGGUUUUUUAAGUCUGAUGUGAAAGCCCACGGCUCAACCGUGGAGGGUCAUUGGAAACUGGAAAACUUGAGUGCAGAAGAGGAAAGUGGAAUUCCAUGUGUAGCGGUGAAAUGCGCAGAGAUAUGGAGGAACACCAGUGGCGAAGGCGACUUUCUGGUCUGUAACUGACGCUGAUGUGCGAAAGCGUGGGGAUCAAACAGGAUUAGAUACCCUGGUAGUCCACGCCGUAAACGAUGAGUGCUAAGUGUUAGGGGGUUUCCGCCCCUUAGCGCUGCAGCUAACGCAUUAAGCACUCCGCCUGGGGAGUACGACCGCAAGGUUGAAACUCAAAGGAAUUGACGGGGACCCGCACAAGCGGUGGAGCAUGUGGUUUAAUUCGAAGCAACGCGAAGAACCUUACCAAAUCUUGACAUCCUUUGACAACUCUAGAGAUAGAGCCUUCCCCUUCGGGGGACAAAGUGACAGGUGGUGCAUGGUUGUCGUCAGCUCGUGUCGUGAGAUGUUGGGUUAAGUCCCGCAACGAGCGCAACCCUUAAGCUUAGUUGCCAUCAUUAAGUUGGGCACUCUAAGUUGACUGCCGGUGACAAACCGGAGGAAGGUGGGGAUGACGUCAAAUCAUCAUGCCCCUUAUGAUUUGGGCUACACACGUGCUACAAUGGACAAUACAAAGGGCAGCGAAACCGCGAGGUCAAGCAAAUCCCAUAAAGUUGUUCUCAGUUCGGAUUGUAGUCUGCAACUCGACUACAUGAAGCUGGAAUCGCUAGUAAUCGUAGAUCAGCAUGCUACGGUGAAUACGUUCCCGGGUCU